GUGAAGGAGUCCUGGGUCCUGAAGUGGCAACUGUGGAGGUCGCUGUGUUCCAUCCUAUGCUGCAGACCCAGGGCCGGGCCACAGAGCUCGGGAGAGGGGCAGGAAGAGGGUGCAGGGAGGAAGAGGGGCCAGGUGCUCUGCCCACACACUGAGUCUGAGGAGCCGUCCAGGAGCAAAGGGCUGGAAGGAAAGAGACAGGACUCCGCAGGAUGGAGAAGAUUUUCUGGAGGACGAGGGAGCACUCCUUUCUUCCUGGGGCUGGAGGCAGGUGGGCACCCGGAAGCCUGAAAUUCAAGACUGAGAAGAUGUUCCCCAGUGGGGGAACUUGCCUGGGUCAGCGGCUUUCCAGGAACAGAAGUCAUUUCCUAUGAAAGAGAGAAUCCACUUAAGAAUAAACUUCAGAGCUGGUCACAGUGGCUCACGCGUGUAAUCCCAGUACCUUGGGAGGCUGAGGCGUGUGGAUCACCUGAGGUCAGGAGCAUGAGACCAGCCUGGCCAACAUGGUGAAACCCCAUCUCUACUAAAUGCAAAAAAAAUCAUCUGAGCAUGGUGGAACAUGCCUGUAAUCCCAGCUACUUGGGAGACUGAGGCAGGAGAAUCACUUGAACCCGAGAGACAGAGGUUGCAGUGAGCCGCGAUCACGCCACUGUACUCCAGCCUGGGCAACAAGAGUGAAAUUCUGUCUCAAAAAAGCAAAAAC
rnacentral:lncRNA from 1 species